rnacentral:rRNA from 1 species
UACGAAGGGGGCUAGCGUUGUUCGGAUUUACUGGGCGUAAAGCGCACGUAGGCGGUUUGUUAAGUCAGGGGUGAAAUCCCGGAGCUCAACUCCGGAACUGCCUUUGAUACUGGCAAGCUAGAGUCCGGAAGAGGUAAGUGGAACUCCUAGUGCAGAGGUGGAAUUCGUAGAUAUUAGGAAGAACACCGGUGGCGAAGGCGGCGCUCUGGACCGAGACUGACGCUGAGGAGGCGAAAGCGUGGGAGCAAACAGGG